rnacentral:rRNA from 1 species
GAUGAACGCUAGCGGCAGGCUUAAUACAUGCAAGUCGAGGGGUAGCAAGAUUGUAGCAAUACAAUUGUUGACGACCGGCAAACGGGUGCGGAACACGUACACAACCUUCCUACAAGUGGGGAAUAGCCCAGAGAAAUUUGGAUUAAUACCCCGUAACAUAGCGAUGUGGCAUCACAUUGCUAUUAUAGCUUCGGCGCUUGUUGAUGGGUGUGCUGCUGAUUAGAUAGUUGGCGGGGUAACGGCCGACCAAGUCUACGAUCAGUAGCUGAUGUGAGAGAGUGAUCAGGCACACGGGCAAUGGGACACGGGCCCGAGGACUGCGGGAGGCAGCAGUAAGCAAUAUUGGACAAUGGACGCAAGUCUGAUCCAGCCAUGGCGCGUGAAGGAUUAAGGUCCUCUGGAUUGUAAACUUCUUUUAUAAGGGACGAAAAAAGGUCUUUCUAGAUCGUCUGACGGUACCUUAUGAAUAAGCACCGGCUAACUCCGUGCCAGCCGCCGCGGUAACAC